rnacentral:rRNA from 1 species
AGCGCAGGCGGUUGAAAUAGUCUGAUGUGAAAGCCCACGGCUUAACCGUGGAAUGUCAUUGGAAACUGUUCAACUUGAAUGCAGAAGAGGUAAGUGGAAUUCCAUGUGUAGCGGUGAAAUGCGUAGAUAUAUGGAGGAACACCAGUGGCGAAGGCGACUUACUGGUCUGUGAUUGACGCUGAGGCUCGAAAGCGUGGGUAGCAAACAGGAUUAGAUACCCCAGUA